UCGUGAGUUGUUGGGUUAAGUCCCGCAACGAGCGCAACCCUUUUCCUUAUUUGCCAGCGGGUUAAGCCGGGAACUUUUAAGGAUACUGCCAGUGACAAACUGGAGGAAGGCGGGGACGACGUCAAGUCAUCAUGGCCCUUACGGCCAGGGCUACACACGUGCUACAAUGGUCGGUACAAAGGGUUGCUACCUCGCGAGAGGAUGCUAAUCUCAAAAAGCCGAUCGUAGUCCGGAUCGCAGUCUGCAACUCGACUGCGUGAAGUCGGAAUCGCUAGUAAUCGCGGAUCAGAAUGCCGCGGUGAAUACGUUCCCGGGCCUUGUACACACCGCCCGUCACACCAUGGGAGUUUGUUGCACCAGAAGUAGGUAGUCUAACCGCAAGGAGGACGCUUACCACGGUGUGGCCGAUGACUGGGGUGAAGUCGUAACAAGGUAGGCGUAGAUGA
rnacentral:rRNA from 1 species